rnacentral:lncRNA from 1 species
AUUACAUAGAUUGUGAUAAAGUAAUAAAUGAGAAUAAUAGCUUGAUAUUAAUGUUAACAGAAAUAAUAGCAAUUGAAAUGAAAUCCUAGUUGAAUGAAAAUUGCUGAUCUGGCUAUAUAUGAUGAACAUAUCAAGGUUGCUAUGAUGGAGUAUUGUAUACAUCUAAACUGUCAUAUAUUGAAACUUUAUGAAUAUUUUUAUAGCAUUAUUAAGUUGGGCAUAUGAGUGCUCAAUAUUAUUAAUUGUUGAGAUUUGAAUU